rnacentral:lncRNA from 1 species
AUUUGGCCAUGAUAAAUCUGAAACAUAUUAUCUUGGCUCAGGUUGAGUAAUAGUCAACCCUAGAAAAGCAAGCAUCUCUUCUUCUCUUAUAAACAUUGCAUCAGGGCAAGAGUGAGGGGUAUUAAGCCAUCUUAUUUAAUGAUAUAUCUCAUCCUUAAGGAUUUAUUAGUUCCAUUGCCAAUAAUGUAGCUAUAUCAGCUCUGCAUGUUUGGAAACUUAAUUUGCAAUUAAGUUCAAAGGCCAUUUUUCCAUGGUAUGAAAUAGGAUUAUAUGUACUUGAAAGUCAGAAAUUAACCAUUUCCCACUACCCAAAAUAAUUUUCUGUUCAUUAAUUACUGCAAUCUUCCAUUCAUAAACAUUU